UCCUCCCUCUGGCGGCGUGCUUAACACAUGCAAGUCGAACGGAAAGGCCCUGCUUUUGUGGGGUGCUCGAGUGGCGAACGGGUGAGUAACACGUGAGUAACCUGCCCUUGACUUUGGGAUAACUUCAGGAAACUGGGGCUAAUACCGGAUAGGAGCUCCUGCUGCAUGGUGGGGGUUGGAAAGUUUCGGCGGUUGGGGAUGGACUCGCGGCUUAUCAGCUUGUUGGUGGGGUAGUGGCUGACCAAGGCUUUGACGGGUAGCCGGCCUGAGAGGGUGACCGGCCACAUUGGGACUGAGAUACGGCGCAGAAUCCUACGGGAGGCAGCAGUGGGGAAUAUUGCACAAUGGGCGGAAGCAUGAUGCAGCAGCGCCGCGUGCGGGAUGACGGCCUUCGGGUUGUAAACCUCUUUCGCCUGUGACGAAGCGUGAGUGACGGUAAUGGGUAAAGAAGCACCGGCUAACUACGUG
rnacentral:rRNA from 1 species